rnacentral:tRNA from 1 species
GCGCUCGUGGCUCAACGGAUAGAGCAACGGACUUCUAAUCCGUAGGUUGCAGGUUCGAUUCCUGCCGAGCGCGCCA